rnacentral:rRNA from 1 species
AUUGAACGCUGGCGGCAGGCUUAACACAUGCAAGUCGAGCGGAUGAAGAGAGCUUGCUCUCUGAUUCAGCGGCGGACGGGUGAGUAAUGCCUAGGAAUCUGCCUGGUAGUGGGGGACAACGUUUCGAAAGGAACGCUAAUACCGCAUACGUCCUACGGGAGAAAGUGGGGGAUCUUCGGACCUCACGCUAUCAGAUGAGCCUAGGUACGAUUAGCUAGUUGGUGAGGUAAAGGCUCACCAAGGCGACGAUCGUUAACUGGUCUGAGAGGAUGAUCAGUCACACUGGAACUGAGACACGGUCCAGACUCCUACGGGAGGCAGCAGUGGGGAAUAUUGGACAAUGGGCGAAAGCCUGAUCCAGCCAUGCCGCGUGUGUGAAGAAGGUCUUCGGAUUGUAAAGCACUUUAAGUUGGGAGGAAGGGCAGUAAGUUAAUACCUUGCUGUUUUGACGUUACCGACAGAAUAAGCACCGGCUAACUUCGUGCCAGCAGCCGCCGUAAUAC